rnacentral:rRNA from 1 species
CAAUAGUAUAUAUUAGUGUUGUUGCAGUUAAACGCUCGUAGUUGGAUUUUGGGCCGGUUCGCGUGGUCCGCCGCAAGGUGAGUACUGCGUGUGGUCGGCCUUCCUUCCGAAGACGCGGCAUGCUCUUCAUCGGGUGUGUCGUUCGAUUCGGAAUUUUUACUUUGAAUAAAUAAGAGUGUUCAAAGCAGGCCUUCGCUUGAAUACAUUAGCAUGGAAUAAUAAAAUAGGACUUUGGUUCUAUUUUGUUGGUUUCUAGGACCGAAGUAAUGAUUAAUAGGGAUAGUUGGGGCCAUUAGUAUUUAAUUGUCAGAGGUGAAAUUCUUGGAUUUAUGAAAGACUAACUUCUGCGAAAGCAUUUGGCAAGGAUGUUUUCAUUAAUCAAGAACGAAAGUUAGGGGAUCGAAGAUGAUCAGAUACCA